AGGGUCAAGCAAGUAAGGGCAUACAGUGGAUGCCUUGGCACGCGGAGGCGAUGAAGGACGCGGCAAACUGCGAUAAGCCUCGGGGAGUGGUAAGCACGCGGUGAUCCGGGGAUGUCCGAAUGGGGUAACCCACUAGAGGUCAUGCUCUAGUAAUCAUAUCUGAAUCCAUAGGAUAUGAUGGCUAACGAGGGGAAC
rnacentral:rRNA from 1 species